UUAUUCACUCAAAGGGACCAGGGUGAUCACGAAUGCCCUGACCCCAGGUUGAUGCUCGCCUUUGCACUUCGGCGUGUUGAAGCCUGCGACAAUCCCUAAUCGGGAUCUCUGGGACGCGUAGUUUUUGCUAGUGGGGUGGUAUUCGGAUCAUCCCCUU
rnacentral:snRNA from 1 species